CCUCCCUCAUAUCCUCUCAAUCCGUCUCUCUGCACUCAACAGCAGCCCCUGCCCUGCAAUUGCUCCACAGUCCCUAAACUCCAGCUCCCAGCCACUGCGCCUUCCAGUGGACCAGCGUUCCUGUCUGGGGCUAAAAUCCCCUAUUUAAUGUUGAGUAGAAGUCUGAAGAGUGGACACCCUUGACUUGAUCAUGAUCUUUGGGAAAAGGGAAUACAGCAUGGCUUUGGCACAUAUAAGUUUCCAGAGAGCUUGCGACAUUUAGUGACCUGAGAAUUUAGCAUCAUGAUUGCUUCGUCUGGCAGAUGCCAAGUGUCCAUGCUAGUGGAGGCAGAAUGGAUCUGCUCCUAGGGAUUACCAGAACAUAAACUUUGUUUUGGCUGUGUCAUGGAAGAGAAAUGGAAGGGACCUCGUCUGGAAUUGAGACAAUAUGAAGAUUCUGGCAAAUACAUGAGGGUCUAGAAAAGUAUUUAGUAACUAAAAUCUUUGGAACUGAAUCUAAGAAAAGUAAUGUGUUGAAACAUUAAGAAGCAAAAAAACAAAAUCUUUCUGGACCUUUGUAGCCUAAUCAUAGGCUAUUCUAAACUAUUAAAUUACUCUUUCAGAAAGAACUGUCAGGAACUACAAAGAGCCCAAGGUUUCACCCUUCCUGCCAGCUAACAGAUAAGUUGGCCAUGGUUUGAUGGAGGCUGGUGGAAGACAUGGCACUCUUGGGCCUGAGAGUAACAAAAAUACAUGGGCACAAAUACUUGUCUUGGUUCCUUUUGCCUCCAAACUCCACAGAGGUGGUACAGGCAGGCUCAGAUGGAUGCCUUCAUGGAAGUGGCUUGAGUUAUAGGAGAGGAACCCUAAGCUUAGGGAACAUGAAUUUCUUUCUUUUUUUUUUUUUUAAUAAUGGGCAAUAAGCAUGCCUAUAACCUUCAAGGUUGUUUGCUAUACCAAAGUCCUUGAAAAGAUAGUUCAGAAUAAAUGACAGUGACUUGCUUCACAAGAGGUGCAGAAUCAUGAGAGACUCGUGGAAAAUUGUCUUCCAACAAGGUUAUAAAGGACCUCACUCUUUGACAAAGCCAGAAACUGAUCAGAAUUUGUCUUUCUGAAAGCAAAACUGAGACCAGUACUCACUAGGGUGCUGACAAAUGUCUAACAACUGGUUUUCUUCAAAGUGAAAAAAAGCCCUAAUUUGUACCACUUGCUGAUUUUUCACAGUGCAGAACUUCCUGUCAUGACAUUUUAAACUACCAAUAUAAUCGCUGAACAUGGAAUUAGGAAGAGAUGUACAGUAGCUCACCCUUGUACAGUACUUCUCCCACACACGUAUAAUAGGCAAAAAUAAUCUCCAGAGCCUGAAUAACACUAAAAUUUAGUAAAAUAAUUAGGAAGUGCUGAGUUUUGAAUAUUUACUACCUUUCAGUUUAAUAUAUUUAAUUAUGUUUAUGUAAUUUUUUAAUA